AUGUCAGUCCAUGAUGCUUUGUCUCCAUUGCUCCUUCAUGUUAACCCUCUGCCCCAGCUCCAGAUGGUGUCCCUCCCACGGGAUGCCGUCCUUCCCGAACUGAACCUGAGGGGUCUGCCCACAGGCAGCAGCUCUUCAAGAACUGCUCCCACAAGGCUCCGUACCACGGGGUCCAUCCCCCAGGAGCAANNNNNNNNNNNNNNNNNNNNCCGCAGGGGAACUUCUGCGUGUGCCUGGAGCACCUCCUGCCCUCCUGCACUGACCUUGGGUGCUGCGGAGUUCUUGGAGGCAGAUGGAAGUGGGGCACUGCCAAAAUCUUGCCAUGCAUUCGUUUGUGCCCCCAUUGUCAGAGGAACACAGUGUUAGAAGGACACCCAGGAGAUGAAAUAAUUGUCUUUUAAGGUGAAAGUAUCCCUGGAUUUUCUCUUUCCUCUGGGAGAGGUGGAAGCUGCAUUUAUGAGCUGUGGUCACAGUUCCUGCUAUAAAGCUCCUUAUCCAAAACUAUCUAAGUUUACCUGCUGUGUCAGUGGAAAGAAUUUUAUUCAGUAUCUUCAUCUGAAAUCCUAAUACCACCAGCAUCAAAAACUCACAUGUAUACAUGAACUUGGGUGGCAAUAUUUUAGUGCAAAUCAAGUAAACUCAUAGGUAAGAGGAAAAAAAAGGGAAAAACAAACACAAACCUUUUGUUUCAUUUUAAUUGGCAAUAUAAAAUAUUUAAGAAUGCUAUUUUUCACAGUAUCAGCACUUGUAAUUCCUAAAUUAGCAUAAUCUUUGUAAAUAGAAUAAGCUUCUUAAAAGUACAAAAAAUGUAUCUUAUAUUUGGACAUGAUAUCACUAGGCAGAUCUAGUUUCCUUUUUCACUCUGCUUAAGAUGAUUUUCUGCAGAAGAAUUAUUUUUACAAGAUUUUAUACUAAAGUAGCGAGAACAUAGAAUACAUUUCUCUGCAUUUCCUGACCUUCAUGCCUCACAGAGACUGCAAAUUCUGCUUGAUAUUUAAAAUAUCCUGACAUCGACUACACCAUUACUUCCAACCAGCUAUGUCAGUAGCAUCAGCACUAAGUGUUUAUCUUAUUUCUGUCCUUUCAACAGCAGAGUUCAGCUGGUUACCGGUGACCUCUGCUAUGCCGUAUUCCUGCCCGCUGAACAUCCACAACCUAAAUUCUUCUCAUUAGCUUGUCUGUACAUUUUAGUGUUCAAAAUUAGCACCUGAACACAGUUCUGUGAGGGUCUAUGGGGAACAAACUUCAGGUAAAUAAACAUCUUGUGCUGAGCA
rnacentral:lncRNA from 1 species